AGAAGCAGGGUCAGAAGAGAAGAUCAAGUGAGACUGAGAGGAAAUGGGGAGAGGAUGUCACGUGCCAUGUGUAUGACAUGGCGACAUUCCAGCCGUUUAUUCAGUUGUUGCCCACUUCCCUUCACAUCUCCAUUACUCUUGGCUCCUUCUCACUUUCACUAUAUCAUUCCCGACAUCAUUGUAAGUCACCAUCAUUCUCAUCUUCUCUCUUCUUUCACCCAAAACCCUAGCUCUCAAUCCUCAAUCAUGGAGUCUUCACCUCCCCAUCAUCAGCAAAAUGAAAGCAACGGCACCCAUAACAUCUCCAAGAAAUCAAAGCCCAUGUUGAUAUCUGAGUCAGAUCUUCGAUUUGAAUUCUCUCACCACGACCCCAGUAUCGCCAGAAUCAAUAACGGGUCUUUCGGCAGCUGCCCGGCCUCCGUUACUGCCGCUCAACACCAUUGGCAGCUCCUAUUUCUCCGCCAGCCCGACCACUUCUACUUCAACCGUCUACAGCCAGCCAUUCUCCGUUCAAGAACCCUGAUCAAGGACCUCGUCAACGCCGACCACGUCGAUGAAAUUUCCCUUGUCGACAACGCCACCACCGCCGCCGCAAUCGUCCUCCAGCAAAUCGCUUGGGCCUUCACAGAAGGCCGAUUCCAGAGGGGCGACGCCGUCGUCAUGCUCCACUACGCCUACGGCGCCGUCAAGAAGUCCAUCCACGCCUACGUCUGUCGCGCCGGCGGCCAAGUCAUCGAAGUUCCGUUGCCGUUUCCGGUGAAUUCGAACGAAGAGAUUGUGGAUGAGUUUAGGCGGGCUUUGAUGAGAGGGAAGGCCAACAGUGGAAGGGUGAGGUUGGCUGUGAUCGAUCACAUUACGUCGAUGCCGUCGGUGCUGAUUCCGGUAAAAGAGUUGGUCAAGAUUUGCAGGGAAGAGGGGGUUGACCAAGUUUUCGUGGAUGCAGCUCAUGGUAUUGGGUGUACUGAUGUCGAUAUGAAAGAAAUUGGUGCUGAUUUUUACACCAGUAAUUUGCAUAAAUGGUUCUUUUGCCCGCCAUCCGUUGCAUUUUUGUACUGCCGGAAAACACCUGAGACUUCUCCGGAGUUGCACCAUCCGGUGGUGUCUCAUGAAUACGGUAAUGGGUUAGCCAUAGAAAGUGGUUGGAUAGGGACUAGAGAUUACAGUGCCCAAUUGGUGGUCUCGGAUGCAAUUGAAUUCACGAACCGGUUUGAAGGUGGUAUAGAGGGAAUCAAGAAAAGAAAUCAUGAUGGUGUUGUUGAGAUGGGGAAGAUGUUGGCCAGUGCAUGGGGGACAAAUCUUGGGACUCCACAAGAAAUGUGUGCAAGCUUGAUAAUGGUUGGGUUGCCCGUUUCUUUGGGGAUUUCUAGUGAUUCAGAUGCUAUGAAGUUAAGAAAGCAUUUGAGGGAAAAUUUUGGUGUUGAAGUGCCAAUAUACUAUCGGCACCCAAAAGAUGGGGAGGUUAAUCCAAUAACAGGGUAUGCUCGAAUUUCUUAUCAAGUUUACAACACAAUCGAUGAUUAUUACAAGUUCAGAGAUGCGGUUAAUCAACUUGUUAGUGAUGGUUUUACUUGUGCUCUUUUCCCUAAGUGAAAAGUUCAAUGGCACGUUGAACACAUUGUAGAAAUCUUCUGGAGUGGUGAAUAACAUCCAUUUUCUUGGCUCUGAUUGUCAUGUCUUUGAGACCAUAGCACUUUGCAAUGGUAGUCGAUAAACCAAAUGCAUGCAUGUAUCAGCAGAAAAAGGGUCUUCUCUUAGUGUCUAUGAUUGAAACGAAACUGUGAGAAAUAGCAGCCUUCAAGGACCCGGCAACCUUGCUAGGACACCGUCUCAAACACCUUCUGGAGGAGGAAGAAGAUUGAAGCUCAAUUGGGUGGCUAAAUUCCUGCUUCAUUUUCCGAAGCUGGUUUUCCAUUUGUACACAAAUGCAAAGCCAAAAGAAUGUAAUGCUUCUUUCUUCUAGAACAGCUACUCCCACCCUUUGUAUCUUGGCUAAUGCUUGUGGAAUUGCUGUUAAAACUUUGUUGAGACAAUAUACAGGUGAUUGUGGGCUCUGGGGGUGCCAAAUAUUUGACAAACUUUGAUCCAAAGAAUGUAUACAUAGCUUUAUACCAAACUUAAAAAGUGAUGAAGAACUUUAUGUGGCUGCCAAACAAAAGAAAUAUGUACAAAGAGAUGAUUGAUUCUCUGGUUC